AAGUCUGCUACAGAAAUGUGAGGUUGUUUGAGGCCCUGCUGUGGCUCCUCAUGGCAGGGUUAUAGGUAAACCUCCAACAUUG
rnacentral:snoRNA from 1 species